UACGUAGGUGGCAAGCGUUGUCCGGAUUUAUUGGGUUUAAAGGGUGCGUAGGCGGCCCCCUAAGUCAGUGGUGAAAUACGGCAGCUCAACUGUCGAGGUGCCAUUGAUACUGGGGGGCUUGAGUACUGAUGAGGUAGGCGGAAUUGACGGUGUAGCGGUGAAAUGCUUAGAUAUCGUCAAGAACACCGAUAGCGAAGGCAGCUUACUAAGGAGUAACUGACGCUGAGGCACGAAAGUGCGGGGAUCAAACAGG
rnacentral:rRNA from 1 species